UACGUAAGUGGCGAGCGUUAUCCGGAAUUACUGGGCGUAAAGCGCGUGUAGGCGGCUUGGUAAGUCUGCUCUGAAAGCCCGGGGCUCAACCCCGGGAGGCGGGUGGAUACUGUCAAGCUCGAGUCCGGUAGGGGAGCGUGGAAUUCCUGGUGUAGCGGUGAAAUGCGCAGAUAUCAGGAGGAACACCGAUGGCGAAGGCAGGUCUCUGGGCCGUAACUGACGCUGAGGAGCGAAAGCGUGGGGAGCGAACAGG
rnacentral:rRNA from 1 species